GGGCCUUCAGAACCAGUUGUCUCGGCAUGGUUGUCUGAAGACCCUCCAGGACCAAGAGGACUUCUGUUUCACGGUUAACCACCACAACCGUGGUCCAGUCCAGCUGCAGAGAACACUACAGGAGAUCAGGAAGAGGAUGAUUGGCAGCCGCUCCACACCUGAUGUGAUGUCAGCGGGAUGGGGUUGGAGCCAGCAGGAGAUGUUAGUAAAGCCCCCUAGAAUUCACGUCACCACCGCGGAGAGAAGACACCUGGACCGGAUUGUCCCUUCAGAGACAGGAAGAAGGCUUAUGCCGGGAGAGAGACUUCCAGAAAGAGGGUCUGGGGAGAAACUUCCAGAAAGAGGGUCUGGAGAGAGACUUCCAGAAAGAGGGUCUGGAGAGAGACUUCCAG